rnacentral:lncRNA from 1 species
AGAGACCCUUAACGGGUCCGACCUAACGGGUCGGAUCCGAGUUUGGGUCCGAACCUGUUAGGCCCAAAUAAAAGAAAAGAAAAAUGAGUUUAGCCAAAUUUGACUAAAACCGAGCCCAGUCUGAUUGGGCUAAGUCCGGACGAACCCAAACUAUAAAUUGGGUUAAAUCCGAACCAAAUUAAGCCCAAUUGAGUUGGGUCUGAACCUAAUUAAGCUGAGUUAGUCUCAGCAAACCCAAAUUGAAUAUGAAUCAAGCCCAAAUCAAAACCAGUUUAACUAAAUUGAGACCGAAUUGACUUUGGGCUGACCCUGACUCAAGCCUAGAUGAGCCACAUUGACCCUGGACCAAAAUUAAACCUAAUUGGACUUGAAAUUGAGCCCAAUAA